GCCUGCUGAAUGAAAAGGGAAAACGGGGAGGGACGACCCAAGAUCAGAGGGCCCUAGCCGUUACUGCCCCCGCAACUGUGAGCGUGAGCCCACAUCCAUUUGCCACUGAGCGAUAUCAAUGAUGAUAUCAAUCGGGAAGGCGGAGGUGGGUGAUGAGCGCGAGUCAGGAGACCUGCCGGAUAUGAAUG
rnacentral:ncRNA from 1 species